CCCAAACUCAAGCCCCCACUCUCCGCAGUCUGUAAGAUGUUCGCCAAAAUAGAACUUUGUUUUAGGUGAAGAGUUUAUUAAAAUGAAAAAGUUGAAUUUCCCUCCACUAUUUUCCGUCUCCUAAUUCCCCUUUCCCCUGAUGCAUUCUUGAUCCCCAAAGUUACCCCUAAAACCAAUACUCUCAAACUUCCAACCAUCCAUCUCUUUAUUGCUCAUUCACUCUUGUUCCUUCUAUUUCCGGUGAACCACCAGACGAGUAGACGACCCAACCUCGUCUAUCACUCGUCCGACGCUGCUUUAGCCAUUGAUAUGGUUCGAUUGCGGUUUAUGAACCAUAGAAGCAUCUUUCACAUAUCAUAUUAGGUUUAGGUUUGAAGAAGCACACCAACCGCUCGAUGAAAUGCUUAACCAAACUGACUACUUAUUACAUAAUGAAAGAACAAGCUAAGGCAUCUGUUUGAGAUAUUGGUUACUCUAAAGCUGCUGGCUUUUUAACGUUCAUUCAAGAUAGGAUAAAAAUAUGUUCGAAUUUGCUAGUCAGUGUAAAAUAAAUUUACAAUAUGUGGAAUGACACCAUAUAUCACAUAAGAGGAAAUCGACACAUGCGGCAUUUCAUUAGAACCAGCCCAACUAGGAAGCCGCUAGAGGACCAAAGACAACAAAAACAAGGAAACCAAUGGAAAAAAAAUUCAAGCAUUAUAUUACAUGAAAGUAAAAAGCCGCCAGCUAUCGGCAUCAAGACCCAUGAUCCCAGCUCUGUUUGACAACCCGAAAGCCUUAAUCUCUUAGACAACUUGAGCCGUAGACCUCCUAAGAUGGUUAAAAUUGAGGGUGUUUCUAGUUUUCCAUAGAAACCACCAAGCGGCGAGGAUCAUGGAUUGAAUAGAUCGAUUUUUACUUUUUCGGCAAGCUUAAAAAUGAGUGCAGAGUCAACAAAUCUUAGCUGUAGUCCUUGAUGAUCCUGUGCUUGCAGGUGUACCAAAGAAGCCAACUCUACCAGAUGUUGACACCCUGAUCAGCUUGGAACUCUGUAGUGCUAUGCAUGUUUCUGUAAUUAAAUUAGACAACACAUCUUUUGUGAUGAAUUCAGCAACAGUCAAGGAUUUGAAACUAGCUGUCAAGAAAAAGGUCAAUGAAAUGGAGCAGUGAAAGAUGGGUCAUCGCCACAUUUCUUGGUUGGGAAAGGAGUAGAGGAAUACUCGGCUGCGGAUAUGGAUGGCAUUCGUGAAGAUUGGUCGACUUAUGCGGUUAACUCUAUUUUAAGUUAUAAAUCGUAUUUUAGGCGUUGAUAAUGUAUUGACAAACAAUUCUUUUUUUGUUGAUGUUAAAAUAUUUGUAGUAUACUUGACAAAUGAUUAUGUAAUGGAUUGUUUUGGUAUAUAUAUGUGUAUUUGUUUUAUGAAAAA